GAUGAACGCUAGCGGCAGGCCUAAUACAUGCAAGUCGGACGGGAUCCAUUGAUAGCUUGCUAUCAAUGGUGAGAGUGGCGCACGGGUGCGUAACGCGUGAGCAACCUGCCUCCAUCAGGGGGAUAGCCUCUCGAAAGAGAGAUUAACACCGCAUAAUAUCAACAGUUCGCAUGUUCAGUUGAUUAAAUCUUUAUAGGAUGGAGAUGGGCUCGCGUGACAUUAGCUAGUUGGUAGGGUAACGGCUUACCAAGGCGACGAUGUCUAGGGGCUCUGAGAGGAGAAUCCCCCACACUGGUACUGAGACACGGACCAGACUCCUACGGGAGGCAGCAGUAAGGAAUAUUGGUCAAUGGGCGGAAGCCUGAACCAGCCAUGCCGCGUGCAGGAUGACUGCCCUAUGGGUUGUAAACUGCUUUUGUCCAGGAAUAAACCUAAAUACGAGUAUUUAGCUGAAUGUACUGGAAGAAUAAGGAUCGGCUAACUCCGUG
rnacentral:rRNA from 1 species